rnacentral:rRNA from 1 species
GUCCACGCCGUAAACGAUGGAUACUAGCUGUUCGGGGCAACCUGAGUGGCUAAGCGAAAGUGAUAAGUAUCCCACCUGGGGAGUACGUUCGCAAGAAUGAAACUCAAAGGAAUUGACGGGGGCCCGCACAAGCGGUGGAGCAUGUGGUUUAAUUCGAUGAUACGCGAGGAACCUUACCAAGGCUUAAAUGUAGAUUGACCGGUUUGGAAACAGAUCUUUCGCAAGACAAUUUACAAGGUGCUGCAUGGUU